rnacentral:sRNA from 1 species
UUGACAGCCCUGGAAACUGAAGUCCUCUGUUUCUUGGUGGAAGGGUUGCAAGCACAGGCAGCAGUGUGGGCUAUCCCAGCUCUGCUCAACCAGUAUACCUCAAUUUUCAUCAGAGAAACUACUCUUAGUGGUAAGACGGGGGGGGGGGGGGGGGGUUAUUUAUUCAGAUCAUUAGGUCAUGAGUUCCC